UACAGAGGGGGCAAGCGUUAUUCGGAAUUAUUGGGCGUAAAGGGCUCGUAGGCGGCCAACUAAGUCAUACGUGAAAUCCCUCGGCUUAACCGGGGAACUGCGUCUGAUACUGGAUGGCUUGAGAUUGGGAGAGGGAUGCGGAAUUCCAGGUGUAGCGGUGAAAUGCGUAGAUAUCUGGAGGAACACCGGUGGCGAAGGCGGCAUCCUGGACCAACACUGACGCUGAGGAGCGAAAGCCAGGGGAGCAAACGGG
rnacentral:rRNA from 1 species